CCUAAGGGUGGCUGCAGUGGGGAAUAUUGGACAAUGGGCGAAAGCCUGAUCCAGCCAUGCCGCGUGUGUGAAGAAGGCCUUCGGGUUGUAAAGCACUUUCAGUGGGGAAGAAAGCCUUGGGGCUAAUACCCUCGAGGAAGGACAUCACCCACAGAAGAAGCACCGGCUAACUCCGUGCCAGCAGCCGCGGUAAUACGGAGGGUGCGAGCGUUAAUCGGAAUUACUGGGCGUAAAGCGCGCGUAGGCGGUCUGAUAAGCCGGUUGUGAAAGCCCCGGGCUCAACCUGGGAACGGCAUCCGGAACUGUCAGGCUAGAGUGCAGGAGAGGAAGGUAGAAUUCCCGGUGUAGCGGUGAAAUGCGUAGAGAUCGGGAGGAAUACCAGUGGCGAAGGCGGCCUUCUGGACUGACACUGACGCUGAGGUGCGAAAGCGUGGGUAGCAAACAGGAUUAGAUACCCGAGUAGUC
rnacentral:rRNA from 1 species